rnacentral:ribozyme from 1 species
AGAGAGAAAGAGAGAGAAGAAAAGAGAGAGUUAAGAUUAAGAAUAUCAACUCCUUCUCUGAUUCUUUUCUUUCUCUUUAUUUCUUCCUUUCUCCCCAUGACUUACUCCGCGCUGGGUCCAAGGGCACCUACAGCAGCAAAAGAAAGACAAAGAGAAAAAGUCUACAAACCAGAGCCAGUAAAAAGAAGACAGAAAAGGCCUCGUCGAAAUCUAAUUCGCAAAAUGGUUGCUGAACAACAACAAAGAGAA